UAUAAAUUUUAAUAAAAUAUUGUCACAAGAACAUCGCCAUCGCCACACUGCAAUGCAUUCUGGGUAAAUGACAUCUAAAGGUUGACUGUGUUAGCUCCAUCCAGCCAAAACAGCAAUGAGUGACAUCUUUAAGCCUUUUCAGUUUAAACUGGAACACGUUGAAAGCAAUGGGAAUGUAGAAACCACAAAGAGUAAUAAUGAGGAUGAGGAGAACCAAAUGGAGAAAGAGGACAGAGGGGAAGCUGGUAAUUUACUGCUGCUACCUUCAGCUUCAUAAAUGAAACAAUGAAUGACAUACCUCUGGUCGGAGUGUAUGAUCUGAUAAGGAGUUUUGUAACUUUGUGUCUGGUCUGGUAACAGCUGUCUUUGGUCAGGGUCAGGUCUUCGGUUCGGAAGUAAACAGGGCAGCAGUAGUGCCGCAGAUACUACUACUCUUUUAAAAGAGCUUCCGGUGCUGUCUGUCUGAUGUUUCUCCCAGCAUUAUUUGCUCUCUAGCCGGCGGCAGUGGGGUUUAGGCGCUUUGUGCAUAAAAACUGUCAGCAUGGCAUUUGUUUUUAGCUUGUAAAGGUAACGAUCAGUUGUCAGAGCCUUUGUCAGUUUUGCUUGUACAAAUUGUAACCCGUAAUUAGUCAAUUAGCCAGACUUUUAUUUUGCGGGCCUACUUCCUGUCUUGCCCUAAAAUCGUCAACUUAUUUAAAGCCCCGCCUCCAGUGCAGUAACACUCCACCUGUUCCACUGUGAUUGUGGCUGGCUGUUGGCGUCUUGCUGAACGUUUCAUACUGGAAAUCCAUCCAAAUCUUUGAAACAACUGAUUUGAACUAUUGACUGUCAGCGGUUGUUACCUGGGCCGUCACUGGAAUUCACAGCUGAUUGUAGUCUGGCACUCUCUGCUCAAAGGUAACCGUUGGGUUUGUGCAAGAUUUCUUCAGAUUGAAAAUAGGAUGUAGCUACAUUUAAUUUGAUAUUGCACAGUAUAUUUCUUUUUCUCAUUUUGCUUGAGUAUUUGAGUUAAUUUAUUUUAUUUUCCUUGAUUGAUAUUUUGAAAGUUAACUUUGAUUUCAACUUUAACCUUAAAUUGAUUAGUUGAAAUAUGAUUGUUCUUUUGUUUUAAAUUAUGGUUAAUUUAACCUGACAAAUGUUUAGUUUAAUUACUAGAUAUUUAAUAGUAUUUGAAUUGAUAUUUAUUGCAUUUGUAUGUUGCAUACUUAUUGGAUAAAAUAUUUAAUGGUUUCUUUUUGGCCUCUUAGGUCAGGUUUUUUAUGAUGGAUCAGAUCCUCAGAUCCUGAGCAAAUGAUGGUGAGCUAAGAGGACAAGACCUCUAGGAUUCUUGAAUUGGUUUAUUUGAAUUAGUGUAUUUGUAAUUGUUUUUUUGUUGUUGUUUUUGUUCCUUUUUUUUCCAAAAAAAUCAGUAAUACACAUACAUCAAACUAAAACAGUUUCUUUGUGUCUUCAUUCACACCUCAGGCUCCUUAAAGAACUGUUUUCUGAUACUGCUUUUGUAGCCGCAGUUAGCUGCGUGGCCUAUAAUUGUUACAAAAUGAAUCAAAGGAUGAAGAAAGACAACAUUUAGAUAAGUGGAUAUGGAAUAAAGAAAAAUAUGUCUGUAAAUAUAAGACUUUUUGUGGAAAAUCUGGAAAUGCACAUGCUGUAUGCAUCUGAUCACAUAGAAGAGUCCAAUGUUACUUAUAAGUACAAUAACGUUUUGAAUUUGACCAUUUUCAUCUUAAACCAGCAGUGCCUUCUCAGGGGUUUUUUCUACACAGUUAAACAAGAAAACCAGUCAACCAAAUUUACAAGUACGUUUUGGAUUGUUUUUAUCCAUGUAACAUGAAGAAAACUAUGUGGUUCUACAGUGGCUCAUAAAGAAAAAAUAUAGGGCAAGUCAGUGUCAAACAGCAUACAAGAAAACGAAUAAAUACAAAAUGCAUUACAAUCAAAUGUCCAGAGUUAAGGUGGAGCUAAACAUGUAACUAAUAAACAUUCCUUUGCAAUAACUUAUUAAAUAUCUGGUUUCAAGAGACUGAUGCUAUACGAGUCCUUUUAAAAUAAUUCCAAAAGAAUUAUCUGACCAACUUAAAACAUAGUCCAGUCAGGGGUUUUCAUGUAUCUUAAGAAGUAAAUGUAGUGUGGAAACAUAAGAAAAAUACAAAAAUACCUAAAUAUAAGAACCUGUUUGGACUAAUUGGCCCGUUUGGAUUUUAAAACCAACAACUAGAAGAGUCAAUGCUGUCUAUCAUGUAAAAUGCAGCCUUAUUGUGUUUCAUCAGCUGUACUUACAGACCGGCCAGAACGUACACAUCCAGGGUUCAAUCAAAGCCCAGGCCACAAAUCUUUAAAAAUAUGGUAAAAACAGAUACAAUUUAAAUAAUGGCUACAAUUAUGGAUGUUUUGUGGCAUAAUGAUGGAUACAAUGUGUCACAUUUUAUGGAGAUCAAAUAUAAACAGAAAAAUACAUAUAAAUAAGUCUGAAUAAAUAAAGCUAAUAAAAAUAAUAUUGACACUUAAUAGAAAAUGUAUUUCAGAAUGGUAAAAAACAAAACUGAUAUGUUCUAAGACAAUUUCAUUCUAUGAUUUUAUGGCACAAUCCUGUGAAGCGUUUUACUUUGUUGCAUUGUCCAUUUAGGAGAAACCAUUGUAAAAUAACUUGUGGUGUGCUUUGUGCCAUAAUACCAUCUCUCUCUACAUCUGUCCACAAAGUUGCUUUUUUUUUUAAUAAUGACUCGUACAUGCUUAAGGUUCCACAGUUUGCCACUUCCUAAAUACUCCCAAAGCUUGG